CGGGUGUAGCUCAGUUGGUUAGAGCGCCGGCCUGUCACGCCGGAGGUCGCGGGUUCGAGUCCCGUCACUC
rnacentral:tRNA from 5 species